CGGCUCCCCACACCCAAAAGCUCCUUCUGUCAGAGAUCCCAGUAGCCCCGGGAGAGCUGUUAGAAGUCUGAGAAGGAUUGGUCAUCAUCGCAUACCAUACAUAGGUGGAGGGCUUGUUAUUCUCAGUUUCCCGCCUAUGAGAGGAUACCCCUAUUGUUUCUGAAAAUGCUGACCGGGACCCACACUUCCAACAAAAAUUCCUCUACCCCUACAGCAGCAGCAAAAGCAGCAGCAGAAGCAACAGCAACAGAUAAGUGUUUUGAUGAAUUGCGAGAUGGGUAGGGCUUGAGUGCCCCCAGCCCUGCUGAUACCAAAUGCCUUUAAGAUACAGCCUUUCCCAUCCUAAUCUACAAAGGAAACAGGAAAAAGGAACUUAAAACUCCCUGUGCUCAGACAGAAAUGAGACUGUUACAGCCUGCUUCUGUGCUGUUCCUUCUUGCCUCUAACUUGUAAACAAGACGUAGUAGGACGAUGCUAAUGGAAAGUCACAAACCGCUGGGUUUUUGAAAGGAUCCUUGGGACCUCAUGCACAUUUGUGGAAACUGGAUGGAGAGAUUUGGGGAAGCAUGGACUCUUUAGCCAGCUUAGUUCUCUGUGGAGUCAGCUUGCUCCUUUCUGGAACUGUGGAAGGUGCCAUGGACUUGAUCUUGAUCAAUUCCCUACCUCUUGUAUCUGAUGCUGAAACAUCUCUCACCUGCAUUGCCUCUGGGUGGCGCCCCCAUGAGCCCAUCACCAUAGGAAGGGACUUUGAAGCCUUAAUGAACCAGCACCAGGAUCCGCUGGAAGUUACUCAAGAUGUGACCAGAGAAUGGGCUAAAAAAGUUGUUUGGAAGAGAGAAAAGGCUAGUAAGAUCAAUGGUGCUUAUUUCUGUGAAGGGCGAGUUCGAGGAGAGGCAAUCAGGAUACGAACCAUGAAGAUGCGUCAACAAGCUUCCUUCCUACCAGCUACUUUAACUAUGACUGUGGACAAGGGAGAUAACGUGAACAUAUCUUUCAAAAAGGUAUUGAUUAAAGAAGAAGAUGCAGUGAUUUACAAAAAUGGUUCCUUCAUCCAUUCAGUGCCCCGGCAUGAAGUACCUGAUAUUCUAGAAGUACACCUGUCUCAUGCUCAGCCCCAGGAUGCUGGAGUGUACUCGGCCAGGUAUAUAGGAGGAAACCUCUUCACCUCGGCCUUCACCAGGCUGAUAGUCCGGAGAUGUGAAGCCCAGAAGUGGGGACCUGAAUGCAACCAUCUCUGUACUGCUUGUAUGAACAAUGGUGUCUGCCAUGAAGAUACUGGAGAAUGCAUUUGCCCUCCUGGGUUUAUGGGAAGGACAUGUGAGAAGGCUUGUGAACUGCACACAUUUGGCAGAACUUGUAAAGAAAGGUGCAGUGGACAAGAGGGAUGCAAGGCUUAUGUGUUCUGUCUCCCUGACCCCUAUGGGUGUUCCUGUGCCACAGGCUGGAAGGGUCUGCAGUGCAAUGAAGCAUGCCACCCUGGUUUUUACGGGCCAGAUUGUAAGCUUAGGUGCAGCUGCAACAAUGGGGAGAUGUGUGAUCGCUUCCAAGGAUGUCUCUGCUCUCCAGGAUGGCAGGGGCUCCAGUGUGAGAGAGAAGGCAUACCGAGGAUGACCCCAAAGAUAGUGGAUUUGCCAGAUCAUAUAGAAGUAAACAGUGGUAAAUUUAAUCCCAUUUGCAAAGCUUCUGGCUGGCCGCUACCUACUAAUGAAGAAAUGACCCUGGUGAAGCCGGAUGGGACAGUGCUCCAUCCAAAAGACUUUAACCAUACGGAUCAUUUCUCAGUAGCCAUAUUCACCAUCCACCGGAUCCUCCCCCCUGACUCAGGAGUUUGGGUCUGCAGUGUGAACACAGUGGCUGGGAUGGUGGAAAAGCCCUUCAACAUUUCUGUUAAAGUUCUUCCGAAGCCCCUGAAUGCCCCAAACGUGAUUGACACUGGACAUAACUUUGCUGUCAUCAACAUCAGCUCUGAGCCUUACUUUGGGGAUGGACCAAUCAAAUCCAAGAAGCUUCUAUACAAACCCGUUAAUCACUAUGAGGCUUGGCAACAUAUUCAAGUGACAAAUGAGAUUGUUACACUCAACUAUUUGGAACCUCGGACAGAAUAUGAACUCUGUGUGCAACUGGUCCGUCGUGGAGAGGGUGGGGAAGGGCAUCCUGGACCUGUGAGACGCUUCACAACAGCUUCUAUCGGACUCCCUCCUCCAAGAGGUCUAAAUCUCCUGCCUAAAAGUCAGACCACUCUAAAUUUGACCUGGCAACCAAUAUUUCCAAGCUCGGAAGAUGACUUUUAUGUUGAAGUGGAGAGAAGGUCUGUGCAAAAAAGUGAUCAGCAGAAUAUUAAAGUUCCAGGCAACUUGACUUCGGUGCUACUUAACAACUUACAUCCCAGGGAGCAGUACGUGGUCCGAGCUAGAGUCAACACCAAGGCCCAGGGGGAAUGGAGUGAAGAUCUCACUGCUUGGACCCUUAGUGACAUUCUUCCUCCUCAACCAGAAAACAUCAAGAUUUCCAACAUCACACACUCCUCGGCUGUGAUUUCUUGGACAAUAUUGGAUGGCUAUUCUAUUUCUUCUAUUACUAUCCGUUACAAGGUUCAAGGCAAGAAUGAAGACCAGCACGUUGAUGUGAAGAUAAAGAAUGCCACCAUCACUCAGUAUCAGCUCAAGGGCCUAGAGCCUGAAACAGCAUACCAGGUGGACAUUUUUGCAGAGAACAACAUAGGGUCAAGCAACCCAGCCUUUUCUCAUGAACUGGUGACCCUCCCAGAAUCUCAAGCACCAGCGGACCUUGGAGGGGGGAAGAUGCUGCUUAUAGCCAUCCUUGGCUCUGCUGGAAUGACCUGCCUGACUGUGCUGUUGGCCUUUCUGAUCAUAUUGCAAUUGAAGAGGGCAAAUGUGCAAAGGAGAAUGGCCCAAGCCUUCCAAAACGUGAGGGAAGAACCAGCUGUGCAGUUCAACUCAGGAACUCUGGCCCUAAACAGGAAGGUCAAAAACAACCCAGAUCCUACAAUUUAUCCAGUGCUUGACUGGAAUGACAUCAAAUUUCAAGACGUGAUUGGGGAGGGCAAUUUUGGCCAAGUUCUUAAGGCGCGCAUCAAGAAGGAUGGGUUACGGAUGGAUGCUGCCAUCAAAAGAAUGAAAGAAUAUGCCUCCAAAGAUGAUCACAGGGACUUUGCAGGAGAACUGGAAGUUCUUUGUAAACUUGGACACCAUCCAAACAUCAUCAAUCUCUUAGGAGCAUGUGAACAUCGAGGCUACUUGUACCUGGCCAUUGAGUACGCUCCCCAUGGAAACCUUCUGGACUUCCUGCGCAAGAGCCGUGUGCUGGAGACGGACCCAGCAUUUGCCAUUGCCAAUAGCACUGCGUCCACACUGUCUUCCCAGCAGCUCCUUCACUUCGCUGCCGAUGUGGCCCGGGGCAUGGACUACUUGAGCCAAAAACAGUUUAUCCACAGGGAUCUGGCUGCCAGAAACAUUUUAGUUGGUGAAAACUAUGUGGCAAAAAUAGCAGAUUUUGGAUUGUCCCGAGGUCAAGAGGUGUAUGUGAAAAAGACGAUGGGAAGGCUCCCAGUGCGCUGGAUGGCCAUCGAGUCACUGAAUUACAGUGUGUACACAACCAACAGUGAUGUAUGGUCCUAUGGUGUGUUACUAUGGGAGAUUGUUAGCUUAGGAGGCACACCCUACUGCGGGAUGACUUGUGCAGAACUCUACGAGAAGCUGCCCCAGGGCUACAGACUGGAGAAGCCCCUGAACUGUGAUGAUGAGGUGUAUGAUCUAAUGAGACAAUGCUGGCGGGAGAAGCCUUAUGAGAGGCCAUCAUUUGCCCAGAUAUUGGUGUCCUUAAACAGAAUGUUAGAGGAGCGAAAGUGAAAAAAUAUAGGUCCAAGCUGGGCUCAGUGGCUCAUUCUUAUAAUCCCAGCACUUUGGGAGGCCAAGGCAGGAGAAUCACCUGAGUCCUGGAGUUUGAGAACAGCCUGCGCAACAUAGCAAGACUUUCUCUACAAAAAAUAAAACUAGCUGGGCAUGGUAUCUCAGAGGAAAAAGAAAUGGAGGUAACCUGAGAAAUGAUCCUCAUGAAAGUCACAGACUCAUUGCUUCAAAUCUAAACCAUCUUCCACUACUUUGAAGAUGAGCUGAAAAUUCAAACCAACUUUAUUUCUCUUCGUCCCGUUCACCUGGCUCAGUCCCAAUUUUAGAAAUUACUGUGGAAAUGUAACCUUUAAAAAUGUAGUAAGUCAGGGGGUGGAGCCAAGAUGGCUGAAUAGGAACAGCUCCAGUCUACAGCUCCCAGCAUAAGCCAUGCAGAAGACCGGUGAUUUCUGCAUUUCCAACUGAGGUACCGGGUUCAUCUCACUGGGGAGUGUUGGAAAGUGGGUGCAGGACAGUGGGUGCAGCACCCCAAGCGUGCGCCAAAGCAGGGCGAGGCAUCACCUCACCAAGGAAGUGCCAGGGGUCAGGGAAUUCCCUUUCCUAGUCAAAGAAAGGGGUGACAGACGGCACCUGGAAAAUCAGGUCACUCCCACCCUAAUACUGCGCUUUUCCAACAGUCUUAGCAAAUGGCACACCAGAAGAUUAUAUCCCACGCCUGGCUCAGAGGGUCCUACGCCCACGGAGCCUCGCUCAUUGCUAGCACAGCAGUCUGAGAUCAAACUGCACGGCGGCAGCGAGGUUGGGGGAGGGGCGCCUGCCAUUGCUGAGGCUUGAGUAGAUAAACAAAGCAACCAGGAAGCUCAAACUGGGUGGAGCCCACGACAGCUCAAGAAGGCCUGCCUGCCUCUGUAGACUCCACCUCUGGGGGCAGGGCACAGCCAAACAAAAGGCAGCAGAAACCUCUGCAGACUUAAGUGUCCCUGUCUGACCGCUUUGAAGAGAGUAGUGGUUCUCCCAGCAUGCAGCUGGAGAUCUGAGAACGGACAGACUGCCUCCUCAAGUGGGUCCCUGAACCCCGAGUAGCCUAACUGGGAGGAAACCCCCAGUAGGGGCAGACUGACACCUCACAUGGCUGGGUACUCCUCUGAGACAAAACUUCCAGAGGAACGAUCAGGCAGAAACAUUUGCCGUUCACCAAUAUCUGCUGUUCUGCAGCCUCCACUGCUGAUAUUCAGGCAAACAGGGUCUGGAGUGGACCUCCAGCAAACUCCAACAAACCUGCAGCUGAGGGUCCUGACUGUUAGAAGGAAAACUAACAAACAGAAAGGACAUCCACACCAAAAACCCAUCUGUACGUCACCAUUAUCAAAGACCAAAGGUAGAUAAAACCACAAAGAUGGGGAAAAAACAGAGCAGAAAAACUGGAAACUCUAAAAAUCGGAGCACCUCUCCUCCUCCAAAGGAACGCAGCUCCUCACCAGCAAUGGAACAAAGCUAGAUGGAGAAUGACUUUGAUGACUUGAGAUAAGAAGGCUUCAGACGAUCAAACUACUCCAAGCUAAAGGAGGAAGUUCAAACCCAUGGCAAAGAAGUUAAAAACCUUGAAAAAAAAAUUAGACAAAUGGCUAACUAGAAUAACAAAUGCAGAGAAGUCCCUAAAGGACCUGAUGGAGCUGAAAACCAAGGCACGAGAACUACAUGAUGAAUGCGCAAGCCUCAGUAGCCGAUUCGAUCAACUGGAAAAAAGGGUAUCAGUGAUGGAAGAUCAAAUGAAUGAAAUGAAGCAAGAAGAGAAGUUUAGAGAAAAAAGAAUAAAAAGAAAUGAACAAAGCCUCCAA